rnacentral:rRNA from 1 species
GACGAACCGUGCGAACGUUAUUCGGAAUCACUGGGCUUAAAGCGCGUGUAGGCGGAUGGGAACGUCGGUCGCUGAAAUCCCCCGGCUCAACCGGGGAACGGGCGCCGAAACGACCCGUCUCGAGGGACGUAGGGGGACCUGGAACUUCCGGUGGAGCGGUGAAAUGCGUUGAGAUCGGAAGGAACGCCCGUGGCGAAAGCGAGGUCCUGGACGUCUACUGACGCUGAGGCGCGAAAGCGUGGGGAGCAAACGGG